rnacentral:hammerhead_ribozyme from 1 species
AUCCAGCUGACGAGUCCCUAAUAGAAUGAAACGCGCGUCCUGAAU